UAAUACUCGAGCCCCGAGUGGUAUCCAUGAUUAAUUGGUCUAAAGCGUCCGUAGCCGGUUCGGUAAGUCCUCAGUGAAAUUUCACGGUAAACCGUGAAGCUUGCUGGAGAUACUGCUGGACUUGGGAUUGGGAGAGGACAGAGGUACUCCCGGGGGAGGGGUAAAAUCCUAUAAUCCUGGGGGGACCGCCAGUGGCGAAGGCUGUCGGCUAGAACGCGCCCGACGGUGAGGGAUGAAAGCUGGGGGAGCGAACCGGAUUAGAUACCCGGGUAGUCCCAGCUGUAAACGAUGCAGGCUAGGUGUUGGCGCGGCUACGUGCCGCUCCAGUGCCGCAGGGAAGCCGUUAAGCCUGCCGCCUGGGAAGUACGGCCGCAAGGCUGAAACUUAAAGGGAUUGGCGGGGGAGCACCACAAGGGGUGAAGCUUGCGGUUU
rnacentral:rRNA from 1 species